UUAGAUAGCUCAGUUGGCAGAACGUGAGACUCUUAAACUCAGGGUUGUGGCUUCAAGUCCCACAUUGGGCAAAA
rnacentral:tRNA from 1 species